UACAGAGGUCUCAAGCGUUGUUCGGAUUCAUUGGGCGUAAAGGGUGCGUAGGUGGCGGCGCUAAGUCAGGUGUGAAAUUUCGGAGCUUAACUCCGAAACUGCAUUUGAUACUGGCGUGCUUGAGGACUGGAGAGGAGACUGGAAUUCAUGGUGUAGCAGUGAAAUGACGUAGAGAUCAUGAGGAAGACCAGUGGCGAAGGCGGGUCUCUGGACAGUUCCUGACACUGAGGCACGAAGGCCAGGGGAGCAAACGGG
rnacentral:rRNA from 1 species